rnacentral:rRNA from 1 species
UACGUAGGGUGCGAGCGUUACUCGGAAUUACUGGGCGUAAAGUGUGCGCAGGCGGCGUUGCAAGUCGAGUGUGAAAUCCCCGAGCUUAACUUGGGAAUUGCGCUCGAAACUACGAUGCUCGAGUGUGGCAGAGGAAGGUGGAAUUCCACGUGUAGCGGUGAAAUGCGUAGAGAUGUGGAGGAACACCGAUGGCGAAGGCGGCUUUCUGGCCCGUUCUUGACGCUGAGGCGCGAAAGCUAGGGUAGCAAACGGG